GAAGCUUGCUUCUCUGAUGUUAGCGGCGGACGGGUGAGUAACACGUGGAUAACCUACCUAUAAGACUGGGAUAACUUCGGGAAACCGGAGCUAAUACCGGAUAAUAUUUUGAACCGCAUGGUUCAAAAGUAAAAGACGGUCUUGCUGUCACUUAUAGAUGGAUCCGCGCUGCAUUAGCUAGUCGGUAAGGUAACGGCUUACCAAGGCAACGAUGCAUAGCCGACCUGAGAGGGUGAUCGGCCACACUGGAACUGAGACACGGUCCAGACUCCUACGGGAGGCAGCAGUAGGGAAUCUUCCGCAAUGGGCGAAAGCCUGACGGAGCAACGCCGCGUGAGUGAUGAAGGUCUUCGGAUCGUAAAACUCUGUUAUUAGGGAAGAACAUAUGUGUAAGUAACUGUGCACAUCUUGACGGUACCUAAUCAGAAAGCCACGGCUAACUACGUGCCAGCAGCCGCGGUAAUACGUAGGUGGCAAGCGUUAUCCGGAAUUAUUGGGCGUAAAGCGCGCGUAGGCGGUUUUUUAAGUCUGAUGUGAAAGCCCACGGCUCAACCGUGGAGGGUCAUUGGAAACUGGAAAACUUGAGUGCAGAAGAGGAAAGUGGAAUUCCAUGUGUAGCGGUGAAAUGCGCAGAGAUAUGGAGGAACACCAGUGGCGAAGGCGACUUUCUGGUCUGUAACUGACGCUGAUGUGCGAAAGCGUGGGGAUCAAACAGGAUUAGAUACCCUGGUAGUCCACGCCGUAAACGAUGAGUGCUAAGUGUUAGGGGGUUUCCGCCCCUUAGUGCUGCAGCUAACGCAUUAAGCACUCCGCCUGGGG
rnacentral:rRNA from 1 species